rnacentral:rRNA from 1 species
CCUACGGGCGGCUGCAGUGAGGAAUAUUGGUCAAUGGGCGAGAGCCUGAACCAGCCAAGUAGCGUGCAGGAUGACGGCCCUACGGGUUGUAAACUGCUUUUAUACGGGAAUAACGCGCCUUACGUGUAGGGCUUUGCAUGUACCGUAUGGAUAAGGCCCGGCUAAUUCCGUUCCAGCAGCCGCGGUAAUACGGAAGGUCCGGGCGUUAUCCGGAUUUAUUGGGUUUAAAGGGGGCAUAGUCCGCAUGUCAAGCGUGCUGUGAAAUGUCCGGGCUCAACCCGGGCCUUGCAGCGCGAACUGGGGUGCUUGAGUCCGCGGAAAGCAGGCGGAAUUCGUCGUGUAGCGGUGAAAUGCUUAGAUAUGACGAAGAACCCCGAUUGCGAAGGCAGCUUGCUGCAGCGGAACUGACGCUGAUGCUCGAAAGCGCGGGUAUCGAACAGGAUUAGAUACCCUUGUAGUC